GUAUACUGAGCUACAGGUGGCUAUUCUAACCAGAGAUUUACAUGCAACCAAAGUUUGCAGAUAGUCUUAGGUUCUUAUCACAUUCUCCUUAGAAAUGGAAGAAGGUUAUGAACAUCUGGGAUAAUACCCUUUGGCAAGACAUAAAGAGAAAUGCUUAUCAUUUUGUUAACUGCAUAUAGUCUUAUUUUGGGAGGUGCUCUUCCUUUGUGGCUUCAUGGCAAGAAACCAAUGGUGUCUACUUUUCUUAGGAGUAGAAUGCUUUGCAUUGCUAAGAGGUUUUUAAUUACAUAUUUGUGAACUCAUCCCCAAGAGUUUUGCCCCAUGAAUACAGAUAACACUUUACAAAAGCAGAGGCUGGGAAGGACUCAGACAGACAGGAAAGUGGCAAGGGAGGCUGGCGUGUGCAGUACCCGGCUCCUGGAGGGACUUUGGGACAACCAGCAGGGGAACUAGGCUGGCCAGGUUUCCAGAGUGGCCUCCUGCCUACAACACUGGCCUUCUGUUUCAUGGGCUGUGAAGAACCAUUGGGAAGAAGACAAAAUACUCAACAUUUUAUUUAUAUCACAUCCAUGCUGAAGCAUUCUGAAGAACCUGAGGUGGCCAUGGCAUUCCUUCUCUUUUAUUCACUUGGUUACAGUUUAAAAUCUGAAUAGCUGUUUAUGCUGGAAGGCUGAACACCCAAUCAGCAGUCUUUGAAUUGAAGCUGUAUUGUUCACUCAUGGAAAUGCCUGUUUCGUCUGUCAGCUCUCUUUUAUAGUGAGCUAAUAAUUUAUGCUUGCUAAAGAUGUUUUCUGACCUGUGAUUCCAUUGCCAGUUAGGAAAGGGCUUGGUAGUAUUCACACUUCCUUUCUUAAUAGGGGGCAUGAAGGUACGAUUAGUGAAAUUGCUGCUCCAGUGCACUAAUGGGACCCACACCCAGACUGGGGGAGAGUGGCAGUGUAGGAGUGAGGUACCCUAUCCUUGAGAAGAGGCCACUAGUCUUGGAGGAAAGAUGUCCUGGAGAGGGGCCUUUUGGGGAGCCACCUUCAUCCCUGGAGGUCUGCAUGACCCAGUGGUCCCCGAUGGCUGAGAGGUUAAUGCACCUGCCGAAGUGCCUGAGGACACUAUAGGCAUGGGACUUCAUGCAGUGUUCACUAACUCCAAUGAAAUGGAUCACUUUCAUCCAAUAUGUUUGUACCAUCUCUGCAAAUUCAUCUUAUUAAAAAAAAAUCAUGAUCCUUGUAGACAGGUGACCCAUUUCAAAAAGAAAGCAACAACAAAAAACAGCAAAAACCCAAAAAUCUUGACAGUAAAAAUUCUUUGUGCCCUUCCAAAAAAAGGAUCUAUAUGAGCUUAAACUUUGUAUUCUUUAUCUUACUACUGCUGAAAUCACAUUAUGUUAAGUGGGACUUCUUUAAAUGGGCCACCCUGCAUUAUAAUUAUAAUCUUUUCAGAUAUUUAAUUUGCAAGUUAUUGGCAGAUCCUUCCUGAAAAGGACUUUUCUAAUUUCAAAUGAAAUUAUUCUCCAGGUGAAGUGUAUUUUUUCCUUUUUUGAUUCUCUCAUAAAACUUGGUUUUUAUUUCUCUCAGAGCAUUUUUCUUAGCCUCAGUAACAAUCAUUCGUGUACCUGUUUUAUACUUUACCAGUUUUGGCCAUUUCUUGGGGUCCAGUGACUUAAUCUUCAUUUCAUAUUAUUUGCAGCCCCUAUCUCAAUGCCUUCUUUCAGAAAAGACUUAAUGAAUAUUGGUGAAUUGAUUUCAAGAAUAUUUUUUAACAAAACGUCCUGAAUGGAAACAGAAUCUCUCCCAACGUAUUCUAAUUAGUUUGAGAAACAGAUCUGAAUACACAGUGGCAUUGAUGCGUACACUCAGAAAGCAGAUCUUGUUUUAGACAUCAAGAUAAAUACUGUGAGUGAGUAACAAUCGUAAAUAAACCCUUUGAAGAAGAAAUUUCAGGAGACUUUGACAUUUUAAAAAUAUGAGUAAAUAUUUUGAAUAAAAUAUUAAAUAUUUUUAUUCUUACUGACUUUGGGCUUUAAUUGUCCUGGUAAAAAAGAUGCUGAAACAUCUCUGGAGAAGCUAGCUUCUAAAGUAGUCUGAAACAGUAAUAACUGAUGAUGUCAUGGCACUUUGACAUUGACCGAGGGCUUUCACAUUGAAGUCAACAUAAAUAAUCCCCUUCUAUAGGUGACUUCAGACAGAUCCUCUGAUUGCCUGAGGUCACUCAGUGAGUGAGGACCAGAGCUAGAGCUGACCGUAGGCUCGCACAGUGAGGGCCACCUCUCCUCAGUUACCCCUGCUCCCUCAUUUCAGUUUUCUAAGUUAUAUUUCUUUUUUAAAAUAAAUAAGCAGAAGAUAGUGUUUAUCAUCUUAUUUAGCUACAGAUUUCUGCUUUACAGAAACAGAUUUUUCAGUGUUAAGAGCAACUGCAAAACUUUUGACACAAAACUUUUUACAGUUAAGGAAAGAGAGCCUUUGUCUUAUUAUUGUUGUUGUUAAGGGCAGCAGGUAAUGGAAUUUUUUAAACUUUUCAUAUUCUAGUUGUUGAGUUAAUAGCUCUGUUACACAGAUAUUCUUUCUAUCCUAGCAAUAAAGAAACAGUAUUCAGAAAGGAUCAAUCAUUUUAUAAACAUCAUACCUAGAAAAUGACAAAAAUAGGUUGGUUAUACCCAAAACUGAGUACAGCAAUUCAAACUUAUGCUAUGACAUGCAUUGACUAUAAUUACACAGUUAACUGCAGAAUUAAGAAUUUUAAUGAAUUAUAGCACUUCAUCCAAAGCUUUUGCUAAAUAAUCCAUAACUCAUGAAGUUCCUUGUCCUAUCUUCAAAUUCCUUUCUGUAGCUGAAUCUUUUCUUGAACUGCUCUGUAGGAGCAAUAGACAUAAAAAAUUAGUUUUAAUUACGUACUUUUUUUAAACUCAAAGGUUUGCCUUACCUUACUUUGUACUUUGUUCUGACAGAGUUCUCCUUCUUAUUUUUACAUACCAGGUUCAGAAGUCCAUUUAUGCUUGAAUAUGCUUAAUGCAAAGUGAUGUAACUAGAAAAUAUUCAGAGAAGAGCCAGCCACUGAAAUGAUAAAAUGUUAAAAUAUGUUUUCUGAAGGCAGAUAAAUUAAAAGACAAGACUGUUCUUCAGUCUAGAAAGAUUAAGGCUCUGAAUAUGGUCAGCAUCUUGAUCAAAGUUAAAAGAUUGUUGUAUAAUAUUUGUAGGACAAAUAUGAAUCUGUUUCCCAAACCCUAGCAUUUCCUUAGGGAAUAUUUCUUGUGUAUAAAACUUACAUGUACUUUCCACAGAAUAUCCCUUAAUCCAUGAUCAUUUUUGACACUUAAGUCUAUGUAUACCUCCCUCUAACUGUAUGUUUUCCGAAGCCUGCUUGCCCAUCUUUGUAUUUUUGGUUGUUCUUGUAUAGUGCCAUUCACUAUGUAAAUCCUCAAUAAAUGUCUAUUUAGUUGAACUGUAUAUUUCAGAUAAACAUGAAGCAUGGUUUUAUGAAGUGGCUGAGAUAUUUAGGAAUCUUUUUACUCCAAGCAAUGAUGACAAGCUUAUGUUCCAGCAGAUUCAAGAAAUCUUUGGGUGGAUCAAGUACCGGUAUACUUAUAGUCUCAUUGUUACAGGCUUAAUCAUAUUUGCAGAAAUAAAUUACUAUUGGAGGUGUAAACUUGAAUGACAAUAUGUCCUUCCAAAUAACGAAUUGCCAUGCUGGACUGGAAGAUCCUUCGUCUGACUUUAUAUGACAUUAUCUUUACUGAUACUUUUAUAGGUUGCAUUAAAUGUGUGUGGAAACUUCAUCUAUCAAUUUCUUUCAAACAUACUCCCAGGAUAUGUCAUUAUGAAACAAUAUCAUGAUUGUCAUUCUAGCUGAUAAUAUUUUAACCCCCGUCAUUUGGCUUUUUGGUCAGAUAAAAACUCUGAGAAAGCCACUAUGUCAACACACUUUAACUCAGUAUAAUCAGUGGGAAUGAAGGAUUCUGUGUCUCUUGCCUACCCAGUAUCAAAUUGUUUCCCAACUCAUCUUUUUGGCUAUGAUCUCCAAGCCUUCUUGGAGAGACUAUCCCCCCCAGGCCACUGCUGUAGCUGGAUCAGAAUCAUGUCUCAAAGAACCGCUUACAGAUAGCUUUAGAUUAUGACCUGUGAUAGUGGAAAGAUCUUAUUACCCAUCCCCACUUUUUUUCUCCCUUUGCUCUCACCUUUUCAGUAUCCUUUAGGCAUACAAGCACCACAGCUACUAAGAAAACAAUUCAGCUUUUUAUAACAGAUGGGGAGCUCCAUCUGGUGUAAACAUAUAGAGGAAUGCCCUUGGUGUUUGUGAGAAAUGUGGGAAGCAGAGACGAGCUCCUCCUCAUAAACCAUGUGCCCUGUCAUGAGCUUCUCUUUCAGUAUAGGAGUUGACAGCCACUUAGUCCCUCAAACUUAGGCAUGGUCUAGGGAUAGAUUAUGGCUGUUUUUGAACCACAGUGUUGCUGUUGAAAUGUAGCCACUGGUGCAAUGUACAUGGUGCAAAUAACCCUCAAACACUGACUUUAAAGAAGUAAUACAAUCCUGGUUGGAGUAUUUGCACAGAAUAAAGCUGUAGCCCAGUACCAAUCAGAUAGCAGGUACUCAUAGAAUGGAUGCAUGAAAGAUGACCAAAGCAUAGCUUGAUUGUGUCCAGGUGAGCUGGUAAGGGUAGAAAAUAUCAUAGACAUGCUUUUUCCUUCACAUCUAAAAAGUGGGGUAGAGGUUGAGGGCAGAGAUGAGUUGGGAAUUACUAAAUCUUCAAGGAUGAUGAGGAGGAGUCUCCUUGCUUUCAUUUUUUUUCUCUUAUCCAACAAUCAUGCUAGAUAAGAUAGGAAAGGCUAAGUUCAGCAUAGUUUCUGUACAGCUUAUAUAACUUGUGAGACUCUGAAGAAAGUAGUUUAGUGUGUGGUACUUUCUAGGUUGAAAAAGUAUUUUGUAAAUCCUAAUCUUUAAUUUGUGUUAUCUUGCUAUUGUGAUUAUUCUCGUUUCCAUACGCUAGGCAGUGCGCCAUGCUUUUCUGUGGGAUACACACCUCUUCUCCAUAAUUAGAAUCCUUUGGCUCUCCUGCUUUGGUAGCUAUUUGAUGAAAAGAUUAAAGAAUAAAGCUGUAUCCGAGACCCCUUCUGUAGUCUACAUAUAUUUACAUAAAUUCCUUGAAAAGUAAAUUAAAAAAAAAAAAAACUACAUGAACGAAAUGGUGAAGACAUGUGAGAUCUAAAGGAACUACUUAUUUGAAGGGAAGAGAACAACAGUCUUGUGUCAUCACAGUUAAACUGAGGAUGCCGGUUCAUUUACUAUUUUCGGUGAAUUUUAAUUGAGUUGUGUCUGAUUUUUAUAAAUGUUGUCAAUCUUCAUUUUCUCUGUCUCCCAUGCACCAACCUAAACACACACACACACACACACACACACACACACACACACACACACACACACACACAGCAGAUCUAUAUACCAAGGCGUUUUGGGAAGCCGCUGUCUGUAGAUAUACCCUAGCACCAACUUGUACAUAGUGACACUUAGUGCUAUAAGUACUAAAACAUCCAACCUUGAGAGAAUACCCAUA
rnacentral:lncRNA from 1 species